rnacentral:rRNA from 1 species
GGGUUGUGAGGUUAAGCGACUAAGCGUACACGGUGGAUGCCCUGGCAGUCAGAGGCGAUGAAGGGCGUGCUAAUCUGCGAUAAGCGCCGGUAAGGUGAUAUGAACCGUUAUAACCGGCGAUACCCGAAUGGGGAAACCCAGUGUGACUCGUCACACUAUCAUUAACUGAAUCCAUAGGUUAAUGAGGCGAACCGGGGGAACUGAAACAUCUAAGUACCCCGAGGAAAAGAAAUCAACCGAGAUUCCCCCAGUAGCGGCGAGCGAACGGGGAGGAGCCCAGAGCCUGAAUCAGCAUGUGUGUUAGUGGAAGCGUCUGGAAAGGCGCGCGAUACAGGGUGACAGCCCCGUACACAAAAGCGCAUGUGCUGUGAGCUCGAUGAGUAGGGCGGGACACGUGGUAUCCUGUCUGAAUAUGGGGGGACCAUCCUCCAAGGCUAAAUACUCCUGACUGACCGAUAGUGAACCAGUACCGUGAGGGAAAGGCGAAAAGAACCCCGGCGAGGGGAGUGAAAAAGAACCUGAAACCGUGUACGUACAAGCAGUGGGAGCACAGGUUUACCUGUGUGACUGCGUACCUUUUGUAUAAUGGGUCAGCGACUUAUAUUCUGUAGCAAGGUUAACCGAAUAGGGGAGCCGGAGGGAAACCGAGUCUUAAUUGGGCGUUAAGUUGCAGGGUAUAGACCCGAAACCCGGUGAUCUAGCCAUGGGCAGGUUGAAGGUUGGGUAACACUAACUGGAGGACCGAACCGACUAAUGUUGAAAAAUUAGCGGAUGACCUGUGGCUGGGGGUGAAAGGCCAAUCAAACCGGGAGAUAGCUGGUUCUCCCCGAAAGCUAUUUAGGUAGCGCCUCGUGAAUUCAUCUCCGGGGGUAGAGCACUGUUUCGGCUAGGGGGCCAUCCCGGCUUACCAACCCGAUGCAAACUGCGAAUACCGGAGAAUGUUAUCACGGGAGACACACGGCGGGUGCUAACGUCCGUCGUGAAGAGGGAAACAACCCAGACCGCCAGCUAAGGUCCCAAAGUCAUGGUUAAGUGGGAAACGAUGUGGGAAGGCCCAGACAGCCAGGAUGUUGGCUUAGAAGCAGCCAUCAUUUAAAGAAAGCGUAAUAGCUCACUGGUCGAGUCGGCCUGCGCGGAAGAUGUAACGGGGCUAAACCAUGCACCGAAGCUGCGGCAGCGAACGUAUCACUUAAAGCGAUUCAGCGGGUUACGAUUGACGGAGCGAAGCGACGUCAAAGCGUAUACAAAGUCGAGUCGGUUUAAGGAUACGUUCGUUGGGUAGGGGAGCGUUCUGUAAGCCUGUGAAGGUGGCCUGUGAGGGUUGCUGGAGGUAUCAGAAGUGCGAAUGCUGACAUAAGUAACGAUAAAGCGGGUGAAAAGCCCGCUCGCCGGAAGACCAAGGGUUCCUGUCCAACGUUAAUCGGGGCAGGGUGAGUCGACCCCUAAGGCGAGGCCGAAAGGCGUAGUCGAUGGGAAACGGGUUAAUAUUCCCGUACUUGGUGUUACUGCGAAGGGGGGACGGAGAAGGCUAUGUUGGCCGGGCGACGGUUGUCCCGGUUUAAGCGUGUAGGCUGGUUUUCCAGGCAAAUCCGGAAAAUCAAGGCUGAGGCGUGAUGACGAGGCACUACGGUGCUGAAGCAACAAAUGCCCUGCUUCCAGGAAAAGCCUCUAAGCAUCAGGUAACAUCAAAUCGUACCCCAAACCGACACAGGUGGUCAGGUAGAGAAUACCAAGGCGCUUGAGAGAACUCGGGUGAAGGAACUAGGCAAAAUGGUGCCGUAACUUCGGGAGAAGGCACGCUGACACGUAGGUGAAGUGAUUUACUCAUGGAGCUGAAGUCAGUCGAAGAUACCAGCUGGCUGCAACUGUUUAUUAAAAACACAGCACUGUGCAAACACGAAAGUGGACGUAUACGGUGUGACGCCUGCCCGGUGCCGGAAGGUUAAUUGAUGGGGUCAGCGCAAGCGAAGCUCCUGAUCGAAGCCCCGGUAAACGGCGGCCGUAACUAUAACGGUCCUAAGGUAGCGAAAUUCCUUGUCGGGUAAGUUCCGACCUGCACGAAUGGCGUAAUGAUGGCCAGGCUGUCUCCACCCGAGACUCAGUGAAAUUGAACUCGCUGUGAAGAUGCAGUGUACCCGCGGCAAGACGGAAAGACCCCGUGAACCUUUACUAUAGCUUGACACUGAACAUUGAGCCUUGAUGUGUAGGAUAGGUGGGAGGCUUUGAAGUGUGGACGCCAGUCUGCAUGGAGCCGGCCUUGAAAUACCACCCUUUAAUGUUUGAUGUUCUAACGUGGACCCGUAAUCCGGGUUGCGGACAGUGUCUGGUGGGUAGUUUGACUGGGGCGGUCUCCUCCUAAAGAGUAACGGAGGAGCACGAAGGUUGGCUAAUCCUGGUCGGACAUCAGGAGGUUAGUGCAAUGGCAUAAGCCAGCUUGACUGCGAGCGUGACGGCGCGAGCAGGUGCGAAAGCAGGUCAUAGUGAUCCGGUGGUUCUGAAUGGAAGGGCCAUCGCUCAACGGAUAAAAGGUACUCCGGGGAUAACAGGCUGAUACCGCCCAAGAGUUCAUAUCGACGGCGGUGUUUGGCACCUCGAUGUCGGCUCAUCACAUCCUGGGGCUGAAGUAGGUCCCAAGGGUAUGGCUGUUCGCCAUUUAAAGUGGUACGCGAGCUGGGUUUAGAACGUCGUGAGACAGUUCGGUCCCUAUCUGCCGUGGGCGCUGGAGAACUGAGGGGGGCUGCUCCUAGUACGAGAGGACCGGAGUGGACGCAUCACUGGUGUUCGGGUUGUCAUGCCAAUGGCACUGCCCGGUAGCUAAAUGCGGAAGAGAUAAGUGCUGAAAGCAUCUAAGCACGAAACUUGCCCCGAGAUGAGUUCUCCCUGAGACUUAGAGUCUCCUGAAGGAACGUUGAAGACGACGACGUUGAUAGGCCGGGUGUGUAAGCGCAGCGAUGCGUUGAGCUAACCGGUACUAAUGAACCGUGAGGCUUAACCUUACAACGCCGAAG